UCUCCUGUAGCUCAGUGGUAGAGCGUCCGACCGGUGUGCGGAAGGUCAUAGGUUCGACUUCUGUUGGGAGAA